GAUGAACGCUGGCGGCGUGCCUAAUACAUGCAAGUCGAGCGAAUGGAUUAAGAGCUUGCUCUUAUGAAGUUAGCGGCGGACGGGUGAGUAACACGUGGGUAACCUGCCCAUAAGACUGGGAUAACUCCGGGAAACCGGGGCUAGUACCGGAUAACAUUUUGAACCGCAUGGUUCGAAACUGAAAGGCGGCUUCGGCUGUCACUUAUGGAUGGACCCGCGUCGCAUUAGCUAGUUGGUGAGGUAACGGCUCACCAAGGCAACGAUGCGUAGCCGACCUGAGAGGGUGAUGGGCCACACUGGGACGGAGACACGGCCCAGAGUCCUACGGGAGGCAGCAGUAGGGAAUCUUCCGCAAUGGGCGAAAGUCUGACGGAGCAACGCCGCGUGAGUGAUGAAGGCUUUCGGGUCGUAAAACUCUGUUGUUAGGGAAGAACAAGUGCUAGUUGAAUAAGCUGGCACCUUGACGGUACCUAACCAGAAAGCCACGGCUAACUACGUGCCAGCCGCCGCGGUAA
rnacentral:rRNA from 1 species